GUAGGGUGAACCUGCGGAGGGAUCAUUACCGAGUUUACAACUCCCAAACCCCUGUGAACAUACCUAUACGUUGCCUCGGCGGAUCAGCCCGCGCCCUGUAAAAAGGGACGGCCCGCCCGAGGACCCUAAACUCUGUUUUUAGUGGAACUUCUGAGUAAAACAAACAAAUAAAUCAAAACUUUCAACAACGGAUCUCUUGGUUCUGGCAUCGAUGAAGAACGCAGCAAAAUGCGAUAAGUAAUGUGAAUUGCAGAAUUCAGUGAAUCAUCGAAUCUUUGAACGCACAUUGCGCCCGCCAGUAUUCUGGCGGGCAUGCCUGUUCGAGCGUCAUUUCAACCCUCAAGCUCAGCUUGGUGUUGGGACUCGCGGUAACCCGCGUUCCCCAAAUCGAUUGGCGGUCACGUCGAGCUUCCAUAGCGUAGUAAUCAUACACCUCGUUACUGGUAAUCGUCGCGGCCACGCCGUAAAACCCCAACUUCUGAAUGUUGACCUCGGAUCAGGUAGGAAUACCCGCUGAACUUAAGCAUAUCAAUAA
rnacentral:rRNA from 1 species